rfam:Ciona savignyi cont_41332, whole genome shotgun sequence.
UCCUCGUUAGUGUAGUGGUAACCGUCGCCGCCUGUCACGCGGCAGACCGUGGUUCGAUUCCCCUACGGGGAG